rnacentral:rRNA from 1 species
UGGCGGACGGGUGAGUAAUGUCUGGGAAACUGCCUGAUGGAGGGGGAUAACUACUGGAAACGGUAGCUAAUACCGCAUAACGUCGCAAGACCAAAGAGGGGGACCUUCGGGCCUCUUGCCAUCGGAUGUGCCCAGAUGGGAUUAGCCAGUAGGUGGGGUAACGGCUCACCUAGGCGACGAUCCCUAGCUGGUCUGAGAGGAUGACCAGCCACACUGGAACUGAGACACGGUCCAG